AGUGUAGGCGGGCAAUUAAGUCAGAGGUGAAAUCCCACAGCUCAACUGUGGAACUGCCUUUGAUACUGGUUGUCUUGAGUUACAGUGAAGUAGAUAGAAUAUGUAGUGUAGCGGUGAAAUGCAUAGAUAUUACAUAGAAUACCGAUUGCGAAGGCAGUCUACUAACUGUAUACUGACGCUAAUGGACGAAAGCGUGGGGAGCGAACAGGAUUAGAUACCCUGGUAGUCC
rnacentral:rRNA from 1 species